rnacentral:rRNA from 1 species
CCCUUAGAUGUUCUGGGCCGCACGCGCGCUACACUGAUGCAUUCAACAAGCCUAGCCUUGACCGAGAGGUCCGGGUAAUCUUUGAAACUGCAUCGUGAUGGGGCUAGAUUAUUGCAAUUAUUAAUCUUCAACGAGGAAUGCCUAGUAAGCGUGAUUCAUCAAAUCGCGUUGAUUACGUCCCCGCCCUUUGUACACACCGCCCGUCGCUCCUACCGAUUGAAUGUGUUGGUGAGGAGCUCGGAUUGGCAGCAGUUGGUGGUUCGCCACCGGCUAUUGCUGAGAAGUCCUCCAAACCGCCCCAUUUAGAGGAAGGAGAAGUCGUAACA